GAGUUUGAUCCUGGCUCAGAGUGAACGCUGGCGGCGUGCUUAACACAUGCAAGUCGAACGAGAACGCUUCUGCUUGCAGAAGCUAGUAAAGUGGCGCACGGGUGAGUAACGCGUGGGUAAUCUACCCUUGAAUUGGGGAUAACAUUGCGAAAGCGAUGCUAAUACCGAAUAAUAUCCUUUGGCCUACGGGCCAUUGGAUCAAAGAUGGCCUCUUCUUGAAAGCUAUUGUUUGAGGAUGAGCUCGCGUGCCAUUAGCUUGUUGGUGGGGUAACGGCCUACCAAGGCAACGAUGGUUAGCUGGUCUGAGAGGAUGAUCAGCCACACUGGAACUGACACACGGUCCAGACUCCUACGGGAGGCAGCAGUGAGGAAUUUUGCGCAAUGGGGGAAACCCUGACGCAGCAACGCCGCGUGAGUGAUAAAGGCUUUUGGGUCGUAAAGCUCUGUCAAGUGGGAAGAACCCGCAUAUGGCUAAUAUCCAUGUGCGCUGACGGUACCACUGAAGGAAGCACCGGCUAACUCCGUGCCAGCAGCCGCGGUAACACGGGGGGUGCAAGCGUUACUCGGAAUCAUUGGGCGUAAAGGGCGCGCAGCGGCCUGAUUAGUCAGAUGUGAAAGCCCGAGGCUCAACCUCGGAAGUGCAUUUGAUACUGUC
rnacentral:rRNA from 1 species